rnacentral:rRNA from 1 species
AGUGAACGCUGGCGGUAGGCCUAACACAUGCGAGUCGAACGGCAGCACAGUAAGAGCUUGCUCUUACGGGUGGCGAGUGGCGGACGGGUGAGGAAUACAUCGGAAUCUACUUUUUCGUGGGGGAUAACGUAGGGAAACUUACGCUAAUACCGCAUACGACCUACGGGUGAAAGCAGGGGAUCUUCGGACCUUGCGCGAUUGAAUGAGCCGAUGUCGGGUUAGCUAGUUGGCGGGGUAAAGGCCCACCAAGGCGACGAUCCGUAGCUGGUCUGAGAGGAUGAUCAGCCACACUGGAACUGAGACACGGUCCAGACUCCUACGGGAGGCAGCAGUGGGGAAUAUUGGACAAUGGGCGCAAGCCUGAUCCAGCCAUACCGCGUGGGUGAAGAAGGCCUUCGGGUCGUAAAGCCCUUUUGUUGGGAAAGAAAAGCAGCAGGUUAAUACCCCGCUGUUCUGACGGUACCCAAAGAAUAAGCACCGGCUAACUUCGUG